rnacentral:misc_RNA from 1 species
UAAAAUAAAAUAAAGCGUAAUUUAAAUUAUGCGUAACUGUGACGAUAACAAAGUUAGUUUUGUUUUUAUUUUCCUUUACUCAUCAAAUGGGCUUAAUUUUUUAGGCGUGAAAAUCGUAUUUAACAUUAAUAAAACUCAUCAUGAGCGAUUUUUUGUGGAGUUUGACAAAUGGAGAUUUAGAACAAGUGAAAGAUUUUGUUGAAAAUCAAGGUGUGGAUAUCAAUAAUAGUAUUGAUGGGAGAUUACCUAUACAUUAUGCAGCUGAUUAUGGUCAAAGAGACGUUUUGAAUUAUCUCAUAGAUAAAGGUGCAAAUAUUGACGCUAAAGAUAAGUAUGGAAUAAGUGCUCUACUAGCUGCAAUAUGGGAAGGUCACACCAGUUGUGUCAAGUUAAUGUUGGAAAAAAGUUCAAUAAUUUCGAUGCUCCAUUUAAAAGUUUCCCCAACAGGAGCUUGUUCAAAAUUUUGACUCAUCUUUGCUGCAAUACAAGUAAAAAAUUUUAUUAAGAAAGGUGAAGCAAGUGUAUUUAAGGCAACAGACAAUAAGGGACAGUCAUUAAAAAUAAAAUAAUACCAACCAAUUAAUUCUGUCAACAUAUUGUUAAGGGAGCUACAAAGUCUGGAUUUGCUCCAGAUGGUAAGAGUUACAUUGAUGCCGCUGAAAAAGAAGAAAUUAAACAACUUCUUAAAUGUUGACAGUUUACAACUCAAACAAAAAACUUUAAACAAGUUUACUAAAAUGGUAUAAACCAAAUAUCAGGACCUUAAUGAAUAAUUUUUUUUAUCUGGG